AUUUUGUAUUAAAUAAUGGAACAGUUUUUUAUCUUAUCUAAACAUUUUGUAUUCUAUACAUUUUGUUGUUGAUUUUGUUAGUGAAAAGUGUGAAAAAGUGUAAAAUAAUUUUAAUAGCUUGCACGCAAAAUUAUUGCAAUAAAGUAAGUUGAUAUGUAUGUCAGGACAUUGUUAACAUGCACAUAGUGUUUAUAUUAGCCAUGCUCUUUAGCUAAUGUGUUAUAUUUCAUAUUAAAACAUGAAAUAUUAACAUUCCUGGAUAAUAGUAACGGUAACUAAGAAUGUUGAAAAUAUUAAAAGUUAUUUAUUAAAUACAGUAGGAGUUUUUGUUAGCGUUCCGUAUACCAAGGUAAGCGUUUAAAUAAUAUAAAUAGAUAUUCAAUAAUUUAUCUGCAG